CAGACAUGAACCGACUCUAUUGUGCAACAACCUUCUGAUCACAGAAAGCCAAGGAGAGGCAGAAAAAGUGACCAGCUAUAAAGUAUUCCUGGAACUUUUGCUGGAAACAGAUCUUUAUGAUCACAAGUGUCCACUGCCCUAUGACAAAUGGUAGGUGCACUAUCCCUAUUCAGCCUGAUGAUGCCACAUAUUUAUUUCUAGUUGCAUGUUUACAAUCAGCAUGUACAGUAAUUGAGAGUGUUGUAGACAUUGUCUGAAGAUAGACAUGAGGCUGUACUUGCUUUACAUCUUUAUGUUGUUGUUUAUCGUAGUGUAAAACUUGUGUUAUCUGUAAAAUGUCUUACAAAAUAAAAUGUUCAAUUCUUAUUUUCUCCAUCUGAUCAAAUGUGUCAUUUGUUUACUUCAUGACUUCAGAGAGUUUGUCUGCAGCAUCCAUAACAGUUUUCUUCCUCUUUUCAUUAAAGUGUCUCAGAGGGAGUUUGUUUAGCAGGUAAUUUUUUCUACUUCUUUUUUGCUACAGAUGUUCUCAACAUUCGAGGAUUUGUGUCAACUGCUGUGAUCACUUUUCUGGUCCGAGAAAGUGCUUUUUAGAUUGACUGUGAGAAAUCAAAAUGAUUAAAGUUGAAAAAAUAAAUCUUUUUGUAAAGUAAAGAGAUAGCAAAGUCUUAUAAUAGCAGAGAUAGAUGAUUUCUGUAUUGAUUCAAGAAUAGGUCAGCUGUAUUAAUGAAGACAACAUAAGACUGUCCAAUAAUUAGUUUUCUAAAUGUUCAUCUUUGAGUAUCCCAGAGUGACCAGAAAAACUCUUUCACAGAAGCUGCCUGGAUGUCCCCGAAUGUCUGUGUCAUCUGUAGAAAUAAGGUAAGAGCAGUUUGUUUCCUCCCCCUCAUCACUGAGACCUCAUCACAGGAUUUACACUGUGACUGAAUAUGGAACAGAGAGUUAAAAAGACUCCUGCAUCUAUGGCCUUGUAUUUUUCCCAGUAUCACUGUUGCUAGUGUACAGUACCACUAAAUGAAAACCCUUUAGGACAAAUUUCAUGUGAGACUAUUUGGAGGUCAUACUGUCUGUAAUGUAUGAUCUGUAAUUCCAGACUGCUGCACUGCUCCGAGAGAGAAGUGAAUUUACAGCAGAUUUACUGAGAAUUUUAGCCGCCUCCAUCUCCUCUCAGUCGUCUCAGAAAAAAAUAGUCAAUGGUUACUGAAUGAUUCAAUCCUGAGGGUAUUUUUCUGUCACUAUGAUUUGAGUUGACAUUGCUUUCAGUCAUUUAAGAAAGGACUGCUGCUGUCAAACUGGUAGUUGUUAUUUUGUGCCAUAGCAAAGGGUAAUACAUUUGGUAUGGACUCAUCCCACUUUAUAAAUCUCCAGGGAACAUAUCUGGAUGUUCAAGCUUAUGGUGGGGGUAUUUUACAUUUUUCAGUCUCAUGCUUCCUUUCUUAUUUAUUCUUUAAAAGCUUUACACGAUUUUCAGGUUAAAAAAAAAAAAACUGAGUUUAAGAAAACCCUCAUUUCAGCUUCAGUCUGAAAUGCUUCAUUUUGCUCUUGUCUUUAAGCCCCACAUACUUUCUUCUGAUUGGCCACCUCUCUGGAGGCUGGCAGAGAGCAGAAGUCUAAGUUUUGGGCCCGCCAACUCUAAUGUGGUCAUAGUAGUGGUGUCAACUCACACAUUGCUGGGGUCAGUCCAUUCCGCUGUGCUGGAAACAUUAAUGAAUAAGUUAGGAGAGCUUGUUUCCAAUGACAUCACCAGUUUGGUAAGUCUUAUAGCGGUGACGUGAGAUCUUGUGUGAUUUCCAAACAAACUGUUUUGAGCAGAUUUUUACAAGAAUCGCUUAAUCAUUACUUGAAAUUUUGCAUAUCUUUUAAUAUGGACACCUAACAUUGUAACUAAGCAUUUACUUAGCAUGUUGUAAAUGUGUAAAAGAACAAUAUUUCCUUUUUAAAGAUGUUAGCUAUACGUUUGAAUCUACGCGAUACAUGAUACAUAGAAGAAAUGUGACAAAAUGUUUAUAAUUCAAAUACAAAUAAAAUAACAAAUACAGCUUCAUAAAUGGAAGAAAUAGGAAUAAAGAAAACUAAGAAAUUAUGGAACAUAAUCAAAAAAUAAAAAAAAUAAAAAAUAUAUAUUGCAUCUAAUUUUUUGAGGUAGUAAAGUUUAUACUUUAGUGUUGAGGUGUUUUGUUUUUUUUUCUUCUAAGUUUUCUCUGCUGUCAAAAAAGUCCAUCAGCCAUCUUCAUAAAGACUCCCAGUCUGAAGAGUUGCUCAUGGUGAUAAAGCUCUAUGAUAAUUUUUAGUAUCAUGACAUUUUCCAAGAGUUUCCCCAACAAUUUAAGACUAAUCUUUAAAAAAAUAAAAGUCAUUUACAACGAAUUCCAGCCCAUAAGAGAGCACCUAAUGUGAAACUGUUAGAGGAAGUGAGGAAGACUUUUAGGUGGCUUAGGGGCUUCUCAAACUGAGGAGGAAUCAGCAGAAUAACAGAGAAACAAGAGUGAGCUCCCUACAAACACUGAAUAACAGUGAGUUAAUUCCAACAAUCCAACAAGAUAACACAAUAUUGCCAGAAACUAAAGUGAUCAUAAUUUUUUUAGCAACUGGAAAAUAGCAUCUUCUCAUAACAGGUGAGCCAUGUAUAUGGAAGCUUUUUUUUGGAGGCGUAACAAACCAUAGAAGCACAAAAUAACACAGACAGCAACAAGCUGCACAAAGCAAUUAAAACAACUGCAUUAUAAGGUUUAUAAUUUCACUGAGACAUCACACUCUAAUCAAAACAGAAAAGACAGAAAAAGCUAAAAUCAGUCUGUCAUCAAUGUACUGAGUCACAAUGUUGUAAGAACUGAGGCCUGACAGUCACAGACUCGACAACCCAGGACACCAGAGGUAUUAAGAAAACUAAAAAUAAAUAAAUACAAUAAAAAAGCUGUGAUGAUAAUAAUAAUAAUAACAAAUGAAAUUUAAAGGAAUCCAAUUUUAGUGUUUUUUUCAGUCAAAAAUACCUCAUUAAACAUCUAAUUUGAUCCUCAUUCAUGUGACAGAUCCAAAAAAAUCAUAAUUCAAGAUAUUAAGCGCAGACAGGACUUAAUUACCUGCAAUAAAUCACCCAAAGCUCCAAACAGAAACUCAUAUUUUUACUUACAUUUUUUUCCCUCUUUUUUUCUGACAAUAAUCCUGUGCUGCUGUUUAUUCAAUGGCAAAACACUGUUAUGACUGGGGUCAUAAUUGGUUGAGUGUCUGCUGGGUGUGUGUGCUCUGUGUUUUCUCUGUGUCAAUCUUGUAUGCAAAUAGGUGUGUGCCACAGCAACGCGGUCAUUGGUGGGAUGGACUACGCCCUGUAUGGUGAUUGGCCGAGACCAGCUAUAUCAAGAACCAAGAUGGCAGCCACCAUGUGCAGAGGCCAGGCGUUCCUCAUCCUCCUCCUCUCCCAACCGGCCACCCUAUUUUGCAGCUUAAAGACUAUGGUGUAUUGUGUUCUGUUUUCCUUUAGUAGUAGGGGUGGACUGCCAGUUUUGUUAACAUUAUUUUCUCCUGUAUAUUUUAGUUAGGG